GACGUAGGUGGCGAACGUUAUCCGGAAUUAUUGGGCGUAAAGGGUGCGUAGGCGGCAUGAUAAGUUAUUGGCGGCAAAUCGAGGCUCAACCUCGUGGAAACUGAUAAUACUGUCUUGCUUGAGUGCAGAAGAGGUUAACGGAACUCCAUGUGGAGCGGUAAAAUGUGUAGAUAUAUGGAAGAACAUCAAUAACGGCGAAGGCAGUUAACUAUUCUGUUACUGACGUUUGAGGCACGAAAGCGUGGGGAGCAAACAGG
rnacentral:rRNA from 1 species